rnacentral:rRNA from 1 species
UACGUAGGGUCCGAGCGUUGUCCGGAAUUAUUGGGCGUAAAGGGCUCGUAGGCGGUUUGUCACGUCGGGAGUGAAAACUCAGGGCUCAACCCUGAGCGUGCUUCCGAUACGGGCAGACUAGAGGUAUGCAGGGGAGAACGGAAUUCCUGGUGUAGCGGUGGAAUGCGCAGAUAUCAGGAGGAACACCGGUGGCGAAGGCGGGUCUCUGGGCCAUAACUGACGCUGAGGAGCGAAAGCGUGGGGAGCGAACAGG